rnacentral:rRNA from 1 species
UACGUAGGUGGCAAGCGUUGUCCGGAUUUACUGGGCGUAAAGGAUGCGUAGGCGGACAUUUAAGUCAGAUGUGAAAUACCCGAGCUCAACUUGGGUGCUGCAUUUGAAACUGGGUGUCUAGAGUGCAGGAGAGGAAAGUGGAAUUCCUAGUGUAGCGGUGAAAUGCGUAGAGAUUAGGAAGAACACCAGUGGCGAAGGCGACUUUCUGGACUGUAACUGACGCUGAGGCAUGAAAGCGUGGGGAGCAAACAGG